GAAAGCUUCUGUAGAGUAGGACUUUUCAAGGGAGCCGGUUAGAGAGCUCACCAGAAAAGGUGCUGCUGGAGGGAGCAGGCUCCAAAAGGCUACGAGUGGCAAAGCCCUAGGGAGGCCCAGUCCCGGCGAAAGGACCUUACCAGGCUUUAGGAAGAGGUCCAGAUCUCUGGGGAAUCACAUGCUGCUCCAGAGAAGAAAUGCAGGGGUUUGACCUCUGCAGGGGUCCCUGAGUCCAGAGAAGGAAUCCUUUCCCAGAGCUGGGAACAGAAUCUAGGUCUCCUGAGUUGCAGUCUAGGGAUCUAUCCACUGGACUCCACUGCCACCCCUAUAAGGCAGACAAACCUAUAUGGUUGGUUUCAUCAGACUGCACAGAACCCAUCUAUAGCACUUGACAUAGAAAGUAAGUGGGAGAAAAGAGAACGCACAACAAGAACAGAUGAAUGUUUCAAAUGAUCCAGUUUUCUAGAUGUCCCAAAAAGUAAAUAACAAUGGAAGAAACCAGAUAUAGAAGUAACAGUUUGUCUACAAAACAAAGGAUGUUAUUCAAAGAUUCUCUGAGGAUAAGCAUCAACAGUUCCUAAGGAAAAGCAAGCAUUUAUCUAUUUUCAACCCUUGAUCUAGAUAAAAAGGUACAAAAGACAUUAUUCCACCUGCAACACAUUUCUGUUUUAAAAGCUCCUGAUAAAAUUUCUUUGAUACACCCAAGUCAAUCUAAAGGAACUCUAUAGAAAUUGGUGUCAUGCCAGCAUACAAGUCUCACAUUUUCCUUUCUAUUAUAUCUUUAUUCUAGGCCUUAAACUUCCUAAUUUAAUUCCUCAGUGUGGGCCAGACCGUAUUCUGCCAUCUCCAACAUUCAGGCAGAUCCAUGGAUGUAAACUGUUACUGUAUCUUAUUUAAACUAAGGCUCCAGGGAGCUCUCCCUUAUAAAAAGAUGUGGUUUGUUAUUGUUGUUGUUAUGGUUGUAUAAAUAUCACUAUUCAGACUUUGCCCCUACUAGAAGGAACUCACUCUCAUACCUCUGAAAUGGCAACCACUUCCACAGUGCCCACAAGAGAAUUUAUUAUAAUCAUGGGACAGUAUCAACACUCCUAGUUAACCCCACCUCUGGAUUUCCCAGUGAAUCCCAUUUCUAAGUAAAGCUCUUAAUCUCUACAGGGCAGAAGCUUUUGCUAUGUGUGUGUUCUGUACAGCACUGAGUAUGCUGUCAGUACUAACCAAAUAAAUUAAUACCACCACUGCUCAUUUGUCACUGAUGCUGACCUCCUAUUUAGUUUGAGAACUACAUUACUAGUCAAGAUACUCCAAGGUGCCAACUUAACUUGGUGCUAGUCCUAUUUUAAAAGAACUGUUUGUUUGUUUGCUUAAUGUUUGACUGAUUCUUUGAGCUCCUACAGUACCUUGAACACAGCAAUUCCUAUGGAAGAUUUAAAUUCAGCAUGAAGAAUGUAUCAGAAUAUGAC